UACGUAGGGUGCAAGCGUUAAUCGGAACUACUGGGCGUAAAGCGUGCGCAGGCGGCUAUGCAAGACAGAUGUGAAAUCCCCGGGCUCAACCUGGGAACUGCAUUUGUGACUGCAUAGCUAGAGUACGGUAGAGGGGGAUGGAAUACCGCGUGUAGCAGUGAAAUGCGUAGAUAUCUGGAGGAAUACCGGUGGCGAAGGCGGCAUCCUGGACCGGCAUUGACGCUGAUGAGCGAAAGCUAGGGGAGCAAACGGG
rnacentral:rRNA from 1 species